rnacentral:rRNA from 1 species
AUACAGAGGGUGCAAGCGUUAAUCGGAAUUACUGGGCGUAAAGCGCGCGUAGGCGGUUUGAUCAGUCGGAUGUGAAAGCCCCGGGCUUAACCUGGGAAUUGCAUUCGAUACUGUCAAGCUAGAGUGUGGUAGAGGGUAGUGGAAUUCCAGGUGUAGCGGUGAAAUGCGUAGAUAUCUGGAGGAACAUCAGUGGCGAAGGCGGCUACCUGGACCAACACUGACGCUGAGGUGCGAAAGCGUGGGGAGCAAACAGGAUUAGAAACCCCGGUAGUCC